rnacentral:rRNA from 1 species
AUUGAACGCUGGCGGCAGGCUUAACACAUGCAAGUCGAGCGAGAGGCGGACGGGUGAGUAAUGUCUGGGAAACUGCCUGAUGGAGGGGGAUAACUAAUGGAAACGGUAGCUAAUACCGCAUACCAUCAGAUGUGCCCAGCUGGGAUUAGCUAGUAGGUGGGGUAUUGGCUCACCACGGCCACGAUCCGUAGCUGGUCUGAGAGGAUGACCGGCCACACUGGAACUGAGACACGGUCCAGACUCCUACGGGAGGCAGAAGUGGGGAAUAUUGCACAAUGGGCGAAAGCCUGAUGCAGCCAUGCCGCUUGUGUGAAGAAGGCCUUCGGGUUGUAAAGCACUUUCAGUUGGGAGGCGUUACCCGCAGAAGAAGCACCGGCUAACUCCGUGCCAGCAGCCGCGGUAAUUC